rnacentral:lncRNA from 1 species
GUUAUGAUAAGAAAACAAAAAUUUAAGCAGAAGUUUUUCGAGAGAUAAACCUGUAAUGUCUAUCCAAAGAAAUCUACUUAUGCUAUAUCAAUUUUUUUGUCGUGUUUUUUUUUUCCUAAGUCAAUACAAACAGAUUUAAAAAAAAAGAAAAGAUUGUAAGUUUCUUUUUGGUCAAAAAGAUUGUUAACUUUAAAUGAUAUAAUAAUUUUAAAAGGUUGAAUUAAUUACAGCUUUUGGGGGAUGGAUUAUCCAAAGUACUACAAAUUUUCAUGUCUAUCUGAAAUGUUCGAAUUAUCCAAAUCCACAUUAUCCGGAUUAUUCAAAGUUCAAAUACAAAAGAGGAAAAAAAAAAUGUAUUAUCCAUAUUCCUCGGGGGAUUUAUCGAAAACAUAACUUUCCAAUAUUUAAAAAGAUUAAAAUAUAUAUGAAUUAGAAAUCUAAAAAUAUUUAUCUGUAUGUUGAAUUUUUAUAUUAAAAAGUGUACUACUGUAUCUAAUUCCAUAAAUAUUACUGUAUAUUUUAUUUUUGAUAUCAGGUUUUUACUUUUUGAUCAAUAUUCAUGUUUGUAUCGGUGGAUUACCACUACAAGUUUAAAACAAAAUUAAAGAUGACAGUAAGUAGGUAUCUAAAGGUACAUAAGUGACUUAGAACAAAAGGUACAUAAGUGACUUAGAACAAAAGGUACAUAAGUGACUUAGAACAAAAGGUACAAGUUCGUACGCGAAAAAAAAAGACAAAAGACAAAAGAAAAAGGUACUUCUACAAGAUUCUCUGUGCUUUCACGAAUGCUAUCACUAAUGCACACGAACAGUCUCGCGAUAUUCUCCUACUUAACGAAGACAUUCCCUUACAAAAAUGAAAAAAGAAUUGUCAUAACUUUUUUAAAACUGUUCCUGCAGAACUUCAAUAUGAUUCACAAUUAUAUAAAAAAGAGUUCAAUUUAAAUUCAUGAUUCAAACCCUAGUUGUUAUACAAAUCAUUCUACCCAUCAUAACCAAAAUGUUAAAAAUUUAUAGUUUGCAUAGAGAAUAUCAGAAGAAUUAUAUAAUUAAUCUAAAGUGUAAAUAUAUCAAGAAUAUUAUUUUAUGGGUGAAUAUUCUGAUAAUGAAAUGAAUGUAUAAGGAGUUGACCAGGCGUUGAGUGGGUGACCUACCGGCCAAAGGGAAUCACACGCUCUGUAGCGUUGAAUUCUUUAAAGAGUUUAAUCAAUUCAUGCACAUUUGAUGCUAAUUUUUACUAUGUUUUCAUUUUUGUUAAAUCAAUUUUAUUAUAUAUAUGCAUUCAUUUCCUUUCUUCUUUUGCAAUUUAAAAGGCUUGAUUACAAGAAAGUAAAGAAAUCAAAGUUUGGCAGUUCUAAUUCUUUUGGGCAAUCUUUGAUUUAUAAGCCUUUUUCAUUUCUUAACCAAAUUUUCUUUUUUCAUUUGUUGGUAAAUUAACUAAAGAGUAAUCAAAUCGAUCGAGAGAUAAAAACUAGAAAGAAGAAAUGGGUCGGAUUCCAUGUUGUGAAAAGGAGAAUGUGAAGAGAGGACAAUGGACUCCUGAAGAAGACAACAAAUUGGCUUCUUAUAUUGCUCAACAUGGUACUCGUAAUUGGCGUCUCAUCCCUAAGAACGCUGGUAAUUUUCGUGUCUUUUAAAUUUUUCUUUUAUCAAGUAAUAAUGUUCUUGUAUGUGAUCAUUGUAAUCUAAUAUAAUGGAUCGGCAUUCUAAUAGGGUUGCAAAGAUGCGGGAAGAGUUGUAGGCUGCGAUGGACGAACUAUUUGCGUCCGGAUUUGAAACACGGCCAGUUCUCGGAGACUGAGGAACAUAUCAUUGUCAAGUUUCACUCUGUUCUUGGUAACCGGUAUGCAUGAUCACUAGAUCUAAUUAACUACUGUUUUACGGUUUUCUUGAAUUUUAUUAUUCUAGGUAUAUAUACAAUUACACACGGACUCAUAAAUAGCGGGUUUGUUUCAUAAGGUUUUGAAAUCUUGAUGCUGGCUUACUGAUGAAUACCUUUUCUGAGUUUGUGGACAAGUUUCUUGGGAAGCAAGAAACUGAAUAAGACAUAAGUUUUGUUUUCUGUACCAAAUCUAAGUAUAGGGUUUUAAACUUCUGACAAGUUUAAUAUUUCUUAAAAUAAAUUUGUUUUGCUAUAUACAAUCACCAAUUAGACUCACAAAACAGAAUUUGAAAAUUUGAUGAUGAAUAGUUUGGGACUUUUUCAUGAGAAACAACAGUUAACAUCUUUCUUGGGAAACAAUAAAACGAAUAAGGUAUACAUAAAACCUUUCUACUAAUAUUUUGACAUAUAUGGUUCAGGUGGUCGUUGAUUGCGGCGCAACUUCCUGGUCGAACGGACAACGAUGUGAAAAACUAUUGGAACACGAAGCUGAAGAAGAAGUUGUCGGGAAUGGGAAUAGAUCCAGUGACCCACAAGCCUUCCUCGCAUCGAAUGUGGGGAAGAGGAUUGGGAAUCAUGUUUGCUUUGCCGUUUUCUUAUUUUCUGCGGAAAGGGUAUAUUACUCUACGUCUUGGAGUUCAGCUCUCUGGUUUAUUUGCGCUUGGUGCUGGACAAGGUCUCAUUGGUUGGUGGAUGGUUAAAAGUGGUUUAGAGGUAAAGAUUAGGAACUGUUGUAGAUCCUCUUAUUAGAUGUUAUUAUGUGCUGUUUAACCAGUAAGUUUGGUCCUGUAUGUAGGAGCCGCCGUCUGAAUAUUCUCAACCGAGGGUAAGCCCAUACCGUCUUGCAGCUCACCUGACCUCAGCUUUUGCCAUUUAUUGUGGACUUUUCUGGACCGCUCUCUCUGUUGUUAUGCCUGAACCACCAGCUGAGUCACUGGCUUGGGUUCGGGGAGCAGCUAAAGUGAAGAAGCUUGCAUUACCAGUAAGCUUGAUUGUUGGUAUCACUACGAUUUCAGGAGCAUUUGUUGCUGGAAAUGAUGCUGUAAGUAAACUAACAAACUUGGAUCUGAGCUUCUAUGAUAUUAGUUACAGAAAGGAAGCCUAGUAUUUUUAUCUCUCCGCUUGUGAAUUGUAGGGUCGUGCAUUCAACACAUUCCCAAAAAUGGGUGACACAUGGAUCCCAGAUAAUAUAUUUGAGAUGAAACCACUUUUACGCAACUUUUUCGAGAACACAGCAACUGUUCAGGUACACCAUUGACACAAAGCUUUCUCAAUUUGCGUGAAGAGUCUCAAAAAGACUGAAACUGUACUUAAAUUUCAGCUUGAUCAUCGCCUUCUUGCAACCACAACGCUAAUAGCAAUUGGAACAAUGUGGUGGUUCACAAGGAAGCUAGACAUACAUCCAGCCGUUAAAGCUUUGAUCGGAAGUACUGUGGGAAUGACUGCUGUUCAGGUAAAUCAAUCAACAUAAACUUUCAUGGAAACUCAAAAUCAAAAACAUUGAUGUGGUUUUUUUUCGUUUCUUUUUGUAGGUGACAUUAGGUGUAUUAACGCUUCUGAGUUAUGUUCCGGUCUCACUAGGAAGUGCACAUCAAGCAGGAGCUUUAACACUUCUCACUUUGAUGCUACUUCUCAAUCACACUCUUCGGAGGCCAUCGCCUUCUCUUCUCAAAUCCCUUCCACAAGUUGCUAAAUCAAAUUUCAGCUAAGCAGCCCUAUUCACCAAAAUAUUUCCUUUUUCAUUAUUUACUAAAAAACGAUUCUUUGGCUAACUAUUAUACUAGAUCGAAUCAUGUGUCAAUGAUGUUGUAUUAUCAGUCACGAUUCGAAAAAUAAAUACGAAAACAAUUAACAUAUGAAUCCCAGAAUUUGAGUGUUUGUUGGUGUUUAUGUUUCAUUGAUAGCUUCCUUGUUGUUUCAUUACCAAUAAAAGAUAAUUGGAUCAUUCAAGUUUGAGUCAAAAUUUUCUUAUACCAAUUUGGUUCAAUGCUAAAUUUUGGGAGUCACAGGCUGGAAAGCCACUGAACCGGAAAAAGGAAUCACGCAUGCCAUUCUAUAGUCUCUAUGCCACUUCCCUUUGUGAUAUUUCCUUUAUACCCUUAAUGAAUAUUGUUAAUAUAUUUUUUAAAAUUAAAACAGAAACAAAUAAAAAUAAAAAGAAACUAAAUCAAAAAAAUUAAAUUUGUGGACGACGCCAACGAUUCUUCUCUUCCUCUUUGGCUGUUUCGCCUUAGCUUCACUUCUUCCUUCAUCUCAAACCAUCUUUUUCCAAUCUCAAUCCUUAAAUCGUCGGAGCUACAUACACAAAAAUACAUAUAUGAAAAGUUGUGCCCGAUACUCAUACAUAUUCGUUUCUUCUAAAAGUUGUGGCAAAAAUGGCGGAUGUUCAGUUGGGAGAGACGAUUCAUUCUGUUGUUAUAAGAAGUGAGUUUGGUUUGUUGAUAUAUGCUCAGAACUCUCUGCUUCAUUUAUACGCCAAUUGUGGAGAUGUAGCUAAUGCAUACAAGGUGUUUGAUAAAAUGCUUGAGAAAGAUUUCGUGGCUUGAAAUUCUGUAAUUAAUAGUGUUGUAGAAAACGGUAAACCAAACGAAGCUUUGGCGCUUUAUACUUAAAUGGAUUCUAAGGGUUUCAAGUCUAAUGGGUUCACAAUCGUUAGCUUGUUGUCUACUUGUGCAAAGCUUGGUGCUUUGAUAUUGGGUAAGCGCGUUCAUGUAUAUAUGAUCAAAGUGGGUUUGACACGAAACUUACAUUCCAACAAUGUACUCUUGAACUUGUAUGUCAGAUGUGGAAGAGUCGAAGAAGCCAAAACACAUAAGCGAUUGAGUUUUUCAGGAAUAUGGAAUCAAAGGAGGGCGUAUUACCGUGUGAGAUCACGUUUGUGGGGCAACCAAAUGUUAUAAUCUCAAGAACACUAUUCGGAUUUUAUAUGUAUUUAUUUGUCGUAUUCGUACAAUUAGGUUCGACUGGGUACAACUACGACCAUAAAUGUAUAUGUAUUUGUAUUUAACUAUUAUGGAAACAAUAAAUUAGAGUUAAUAAAAAUUUCAAAAACAUCUUGAACUAUAAAAAACAAUUUUAAAUAAAUAAAAUUCGAAUUUAUCGUUUUUUAAUACAUACUAUUAGUUCAACUAGUUCAACUAGGUACAUCAAAUUUGUAAUGAUUUAUUAAAUUAUUAAGUUAUAAAUUAAGAUUUAUAUAAGAAAUUCCCUAAAAACAUCUUCAAAUAUAAAGUAUUUAAAAUAAAUACAACCAGAAUUUAUAAAUUUUGUAACAAAUUUUGUUUUUUCACAGAAAACACUCCUUCUAGUAUAAGGAAGACUUAGUACAAGAUCGCCUCAUAUGAAGCAAAAGAGGUGAAAACCAAGUUUUUCUGAACAUUGUAUUAUGAAAACAUCCUAAAUGAUAAUUAAUAGUGUAACAUCAUGUGUCCAACUAUAAAUUAUUAAUUUUCAUUAAAGUUCAACUGGAAAUAUACAAAACUCGCAAAAGUUCAACUAUGAAUAUAAGAGUACAAUUGUACAACUAGUACAACUAUGUUUAAAAUAAACAAUUUUUUUAUUAAUAUCCUGCUGUCAUUGGCCCACUUUACCACACGUGUGAUGAUUUAAAAAUAAUAUCCCGCCGCCAAAAAUGAUGCUUACGUGGAUCAUAUUUAUUUAUUUUUUUUAAAUUUAUUUUAAAUAUUUUUUUUUUAAAUAUUAUUUUUAAUUAUCUCAGUUGUACCUAAGUGAUCUAGUUGUACUUUCUUAUAAAUAACCCAUACACAUAGUUGUAUCUAAAUAGACUAGUUGUACCUACAAAACCAAUUGAACAUAAAUAUAAUCUAAAUAUUGUAUUUACCAUACACAAACAAAAGAUCCACUUUUACACGUAGUUAUAUCCAAAUUUAUCAUUUGCACCAAAAAAAAAAAAAAAAAAACUAUCUGAACAAUCAAAUAGUGUAGUUGCACCAAGUAGUUCAAGUUAUACCAAAAUUUUCUCAGUUGUACCUAAGGGAUCUAGUUGUACAUGUAGUAAUAUGUUCUUAAUCUACAACACAACAAAAUACAGAAAUGAAAUACAAAAACAUAAGUCAUAUGCAAUCUUAAUUCACAAGUACGUGCAGUGUACAAUCAUGAUUGUCACAAAAAAGACUUGACUUGUGCGCUUUCUUUCUAGUUCUUGAUCAAGCUCUUCCUUCCACUUAUUCUCUAUCUUUGACAGAGCAACACUGCAAAGCCAAAACCAGCCAAUUCAAGCAGAUGAAUGAAUGAAACAAGAAGCCUAGAGAAAGGUCCUAGACUAAAGGAAAAAGUGAAACCAUUGCUGGCCAAUGGCUAGGCUGAAUUUUAAAAGAGCUGAAUGGUAGCUUUGAAAACCCAAAAUGCAACAAUUUUGUGACAUGGAGGGCGAUCAUAGCUUAAGACAAGCAUGAAUGGGACUUAGUCCUGACUUCUUGAUUCCUACUUAAUGCCUAAGAGAUUUUCAUACGGAUCAAAUCUCAUCUAGAAACUAAUGUAAUCUACUUCCUCAGGUCGGAAAUCAAAACUUCAUAACCGACAAAUUCACGCUAAAAAGUUUCAUACUUUCUAAACAAAUCAGAACCUAUGAAUCAUUGACCCAAAGCUUGUUCAUUUUAUCCUCUAGAUCAAAGCAAUGGCAAAGUAAAGCCAAACAAUUUUCUUAAAUCUCAAUGCAAGAGAACCAUAAUCCUCAUCAACAUUCAUCAAGCAAGCCCGGCAUGGAUUCUUAAAACAUGGGAAACAACGGACAUUAAAUUCUAUCUAAUUGGCAUGACCAUGAGUGCACAAUGCCAAGUAAGAACGCAUACCUCAUUUUUCAGAUCACCUUCCAUAGAAUAUGCAGGUUGAUUGGAUCUUCCUCCAUACCUAGAGCUUGAGGAUCUGAUAGAUGAUCUAGAAGCCCGAAUUGGAACAAGAGAAGGUGCACCAAUAUCUCAUGGAGAAGCAGAAGGCAUUACAUGUGAAGAAGGACAUGGUAAUAAAUCUCGUUGUUAAUCUUUUCCCGUUGUUGCAACUAAUAAAACCAAAUUGCAAAUAUUAAAAUUCAAACAUAACACACUAGUUGAACGUGGUGUAUCUAGAAUCAAAGCCUCACUUUUUUCAAUAAUCAAACAAAGAUACAUUACUAAAUAAUCAAAUCCUGGGAUCCAAAUCAAAAAAUCACGCACAAUUGUCUCGAAAUUCAGAUCGGGAACUUACUCGUUUCUCAACGACGGCAACAUUCGUCGAGGCCAGCUCCGGGAGGCUGCUGCUGCUGCUUCGUGAGGAGACUAUCCUCACACUUGUUUUUUUCUAAUCUCGACGAGAUUGUCCUUUCUCCUCCGCCUCGCCUCAUCGGCAUCGACCCCUGUCUCUCUCUCUCUUCCGGAGCUGGUGGUGAAACUGUAACCGCCGCAGAUAGCUUAGAUCGUAAAACAGGUUCAUACGACGAUUUCAAAAUUUAAAAACUUUUCAUGAAUCUAAGAAUCAGAUUUCAAGAGAAAUUUUGCCGAAAUUGAAGGAAUUUUAAUCGAGAUUAACUAUUUCCCAAACUCUGAUUUCGAUUCUUAACUCAAAUGGUCUUGGAUUGAAUUUCAUAGAAUUAGAUUUGGGGAUUUUUGGAACUCAGUUAAAGAAAAAGAAGAAGAGAAAACCAACAGAAAAAAAAAAACCUACGAUGAAGAAGAUAAUACAUAUAUAAUUGUACUAGGGGAGGUCCCCGCGCCCAGCGCGGGGUUGUAUGUUGAUUAAGACCAGAAUUAAUAAUUAAUAUUUAGGGUUAUCAAGUUAGGGAUAUUUAUUGAAUUAAUUUUGUCAAGAGUCUAAUUUUUAUAACGACAUUAAUAUAGAAUUAUGGUAAAACGCUAUAACUUUUGAUAUAUAUUAUUAGUAAUCAACAAUUAAUAGUGUUUUUGAAUCACAAACAAUUAUUAGUGUUUAUAUCUUGAUAUAUAUAAUAGAAUUAAAUAUAAAAAAUCUAUAUAUUUAAACCAACAAUAUAUUAGCAACGCCCCGACCGCCACUGUCCAUGGGUUCCCACGUCCAGUCUCGGUCUUUAGGCCCAUCUUCUUUGUUUUGUCGUACUCUUGAUUUUAUGACAUAUUUAUGCUUACUCGUUUCUUUCAUAUUAGCAACGCCCCGACCGCCACUGUCCGUGGGCUCCCCACGUCCAGUUUCGGUCUUUAGGCCCAUCUUCUUUGUUUUGUCGUACUCUUGAUUUUAUGACAUAUUCAUGCUUACUCGUUUCUUUCAUAUUUGUAAUGCCACGACCGCCACUGUCUGUGGGUUCCCACGUCCAUUUUCGUUCUUUGAGCACAUCUUCUUGGUUUUGUAGUACUCUUGGUUUUAUGACAUAUUCACGCUUCCUCGUUUCUUUCAUAUUUGUAACGCUCCGACCGCCACUGUCUGUGGGUUCCCCACGUCCAGUUUCGGACUUUAAUUUGGGCCCAUCUUCCUGGUUUUUGUUGUAUUCUUGAUUUUAUGACAUAUUCAUGCUUUUAGAUUGUAUGUCACUGGAGUUUUUCGUAGUUGGAAACAAAUAAUUGAAAAAUAUAAUCUCUUACCAUAUCUCUUACCUAUCAAGUAAGUCAUCUUGCUCUUUGAAGUAGUUAUGUACGUAAAAUUUCAAUGGUAUAGAAACAGGCAUCUCUUUUGUAUAUAUCGUGUCAUAUUUAUCGUCCCUAUUGUAGUAUCUUUGUCUCUACCUUCGCCAAUGGUCGCUGCGUAACCCUUCAGUUGAUCUCUUGUUUAUAAAACCCAUAUAAAAAGUUGUAAGAGAAAUAUCAUUUUCUUAACUGUAUCGUAUAUGUAUUUGUAGUAUAUUGAUCUGAGAUUGCAAAGAUGUAUGCCUAUCAAGAAGCUCUUAGCAAAGUAAACACUGAAGAUAGGUACUAAAAAUGAGAGGAUUACAGAGAGCAAGUAUCUAUCCCUUAGAAACCACUAUGUGCAACUGAGAAUAAUUCAUAUAUGUACAUACAUACACAUGUAUACAACGUAUUGAAGCUUUUAAAUUUAAAUAUUGAAUGCUACAAAACUGGAAAAUUGCUUGUGGAGAAAGCAAUAUGAACAUGGUCACAUAUAUAACAAAUAACCGAUUAUGCUUGUCGUAGAUCAUUCUCUUUCAAACCAAAAGUUUUACCUAAACAACAUAUCAAGUGACUCACAAGAGAUACAUAAGAGCCAUAUCCUAAAAAUAUCCGGCAAAGCAAAAACGCUCCAGGUUCGAGAAGGAAGUCAUUGGAAAAUUUGAGUAUAUACCAAACUGGAGAGUAAUUCGGCUACAAAGAGAGAUGUGUUGGCUUUGAAGAAAAAGCUAUGUGAUGCUCUACCUUUUAUUUAUGAAUUUUAUGCUAUGAAUAUAUGUUUUUGUAAGGGUUCAACUUCAGUCUCCGGAUUAGAGACUUAUAUUCAUCCGACAAACAAUUCGAUGUCACAGUCAACGCUACAAAAUUGGUGGGUUCUCUCUAUUAACAAACAAAAAAAAAUUCUGGGGUAUAUAUAUUUUUUUUGUUUUGUUAGAUCCAUACGACGAAGAACAUGACGAAGAACACCAAAAAUUCUCAUCAAUCCGGUACGUUUGAUCUUAUUUUUAUUAGUUUAACAAUUACGGUUAUGUCCGAAUCUGAAAUAACCAUGGUUCCAGACUCCUUCACACCAUGGCCACAUAUCACCGGAGUGGAGACGAUUUCAAAUUCGGAGCUUCUCUUCGCAUAUAAAAUCAUACAUAUGGUCUCUUUGUUUCGGGUUCCCUCUACAAUAAUUAGUACAUAUUUCAAAACUGAGCUACAAAAGAGCACAUUGGAUUUUGGUAAACAUCAAGAUUGCUUCCUACCUUCCAAGAAACAUGAUAGACUAAUUCACAUCCAAGACCAAACAUUAGCCACAUAAAGCCUGAAUCAAAUUAAACGAUCUUAGGAUGCUCUUCAUAAUCCGUAAGUUAAAGAGACUUGCAUUAAUAUUGCAAAUUAGACUCUAGAGGUCUAUAAUGGUUAAUCAGAGUGUAUCAAAGACGACGAAUAAAGCAUGAAUUAGAAUAUCAGCAGAGGAAGCACACAAAUAUUCAAUAAACGUAAUCAAUCACUGAGAAUAGCAUGGACCCAACUUUGAAAGAUUCAUAAAAAAGGAAGAUUUUUCCUAUGCAACAAUAUUCAAACAAUGAGAAGAUCAAUGAUUGAUGACUAACCAUACAACCGAAGCAAAGCCAUAAACAGAAACGAAAGUACUAAAGAGCCACAACAGCAGUGAUACGACAUUUGUUUCCUCGCACUGGAAACAAUGACGUGCUUCCAUAAAUCCAAUCUAGUUUUUAUGGAAAACAAACCUGCAUUCAUAAUAAACACUACUAUUAAUUAUUAUUUUUUAUGCAAGAAUUAAAUGGCAGUAUAAAAAAUUCAAUUGUUAGUGCCGAAAAAAAAAAGCAAGGAUUAGUUAUGAUAUCAAAUCAAAAUUAAAUAUCAAGCAAGGUAUUUACAUAAAAUUAAGGCAGUGGAGGAUCUAAGAAUUUUUUAUAUGACAAUAUCUACAACCCUUGUUUGAAAAAUCGCUAGGCGCUAGUCGGGCGCUCGGCAUGGGCCUAGCGAUUAAUCGGAAAAUCGGAUUAAAAUCGGGGAUUAAUCGGGGAUUAGUUUUAGGGUUAUUUUAAUAUUUUUAAAACAUAUUAAUCCAAUAUUAUUUUUAAAAUUGCAGUAAACACAUAAAAAUGUAUUUUUGAGACAAAUAUUUAUGAUUUUUAUUAAAAUAUGAACAUAAAUUAUUGUAAAACAUUACAAACUCCCAAUUCAAAUGAUUGAAUAACAAAAAUAAAAAGUUUUUUUAUACUGGCAAUCUAAAAAUAAUCGGGGUAUGUAAGAUUAGGCAGGGAAUAAUCGGAUUAGGCGGGGAAUAAUCGGAUUAGGCGGAGAGUAAUCGGGUGACUGAUUUCUUUAAGGGAUUAGUCAUUAAUCGAGGCGGACAGGGUGGGCCUAGCGAUUAAGCGGGGAGUAAUCGGGUCUAGGCGGGGAUUUUUAGAACAGGGUCUACAACUAAACAAAGAAAAUUUAUAUAUUUUUAAAACAGAAUCAUUAUUUGUUUUUUGGUAAGAUUAAAACCGAAUCAUUAUCAUAUUAGUAAAAUUAUCAUUUAUUUAUUAUUAUCCACGUUAAUUUAAAAGUUUAAGAGAAUAUCUGCUUUUUUCUCAUAAAAGGAUGGGAUAAUAACAUAACUCUUUUAGAUUUAUAACUAUAUUUGACAUUAUCAUAUUAAAUCUAUUAAGAUAAAUAUAUUUCUUUUUGAAAAAUAUAAAUAAAAUGAUAAUAUAAUUAUUAUAGAUUUACAAUUAUAUUAUUAUCCAUGUCAAAAUUUUAAAACAUUUUACUUUUUUCUCACAUAGGAAGAUAGAACAAUAACGUAACAGUUUAAGAUUUACAACAUAAAAAUAAUAUCAGAAUUGGAACGCCAAAUCAUAAUCAACACAAUUAACACAACUCUAAUGGGAAAUUAGAGUUAUCUUGUGAUUAAAAUACUAAACAAACAAAACUAACCGAAACAAAACAAAAGUCUUCCUUUCAAAAUCAUUAACGUGACGGAUUGUUGACUGAUUAAGUUGAAGUUUUAGGCAUUUAAAGAUCUAGAAAGAUGAUUAAGGUUAAACAUUUUUAUUUAUUUUAAACAACGUUUGAAUGUUGACAAAAAAAGAAGAAGAGAGUGUUGGGACCAUCGGGAGAGACAACGUUGAGCAGCUGCGAAAGAAGCCAACGUUGUCUAUUAUGUUCCUCACAGUGUUUGAUUUGACUUUUGAUGACAUUACACUCAUGUCCACUUGUUGUCUCGAAAGUUCAUGCAAUGGAAAAUUAUUAAACAAAACAAUUUACUUUUAUGUAUAAAUCCUAGGGAAGAACCGAUCAAGCUAAGAUCAAUGGUUGUGGUUUUAGUACCGUAUACUUCUCAAAUAUACCCGUUGAAUAACGGAAAUCCGCAAGACGGGGAGGAGACGAAGUCAACCUAGCUGGCAAAGGAGCUAACCCAGCUUCUUUGGUCUUAUUUAUGGUCAUAUGUAUUUAGCAAAAUAUGGUAUACAAACCGAACCAAUCAACAACAAAACCUGGUUUUAAAUUGUUGUAUAUUUCUCAAAAGUUAAAACCCAUAAUAACCAAUGGAACAGAAGAAGCUAAUGCAGAGCAUACUUACGCUUGGAGUAAAGAGUGAUGCAAGCUUCCAUUGGCACACCCGAAAACGCAUCAGAGCAUGGAAAGAAACCUAAAAACCAAUAAAUUAAACAAUAAUUAAAUCUUAGUGCAUGGAAAACGAAUCCUAUACAUACCAAAGUCCGAAUCUCAGUGCCUUAGAAUGACCUCGAUACCAAAAACUUUAAGUUACUACUUCCAUAUAUGUAAUAUUUUAGUUUGGGGAGAGAGAUUGGCAACGAAGAGUAAUUCCUGAAUUUAACAGCCAAGUUUGUUAUCCCUAAUCUAAAGAGAGGAAUACUUAAAUUGUAUUAACGACAAAAAUUAGCCUCCUCUGAAGAUUCAUCCCUGAAAUAAGUCAUCUUUCUGACUUUGUGGCAACUGUGUUAUCAAAAGUUGAGUGUUUCUUCUGAAAAAAGACAUAUUUGAAAAUAAUAAGAACAUGUACCUCAACAAAAUCGGGAGGUACCUCAUCUUUUUACAACAAAAAGAAACAUACCAAACCAUCGAUGAUUACCUUCUCAAAAGUUGAAACCAAACUUUUUGAUUAUAAAAAUUGAUUAGUGGUGAAAAUAGUGAAACCAUAAAUACAAAAAAAAAAAAAAAAUCAAAUUUGUACAUAUAAACAAUAAGAUCACCUGUUUAUUCAUUGAAUUAGGUCCAAAUUUUCCAUACACCAGUUGACAUCGUCCCCUCCAUACAUCCACCCUACAAUAAAAAGAAAAAUUAAAAUUAGGUAGAAGCAAAAAAAAAGAACAAAAAAAACAAGGGUUAGUUAUGAUCUGAAAUUGAAUACCAUGAGCAAGGUAUUUAUAUUAAAUAGGAGGCGGUGCAUGAUUUAGAGUUUCUAAAUUUUUCGACGAUAAAUACAAAAAAAGAAAAGAAAAUUUACAUAUUUUAAUAAGCAAAUCACUAUCAUAAUAAUAAAUAUUUGUAAAACUGCCAUUUAUUCAUUGUUAUCCAUGUUUAUUUAAAAUAAUAUUUACUUUUUUCGGUAAAAAUAUGGAAUAAUAACAACUAUUUUAGAUUUACUAUAUCUGAUACUAUCUUAUAAAAUAUAUUAAAAUUUAAGGGAAAAUUCCUUUCUGUUUCAAAAAUAAGGCGGAACAAUAAUAUAAUUUUUGAUUUACAAUAGAUAGACAUGCAUGGUAUCCAUAUGCGUCAUGUCACGCUGAUCCAUAUUUUUUUCCAAAACUCGAUCUAAUUGCUAUUAUGUGCAAAAAUCACCGCCGUUCACGUUCAUGUUCACGUUAGCACUCCAUACCUUAAUUCACAUGUAAACCUCUCUGCCUAUCUCUGACUUCAGCUCUCUCAUCUUCGAGUCUCCCCAAGAAAGUUUUGACACCACACCAACAUUUCAUUCGUCAAAAUUAAAUCGAGUUUGCACAAGGUUACAACCGAUUAAUAGGUGGUCUUCUACCUUCUAUUUAUGAUUUUAUGCUAUGAAUAUAUGUUUUUGUCAGGGUUCAAGUCAAUCUCCGGAUUAGAGACUUAUAAUCAUCCGACGAACAAUACAAUGGCGUGAUAACCGUUUCUAAAUUGGUGGGUUCUCUUUCAUUGAUCUACAUAUUAUUUUUUUUGUUCGUUUUUUUUCCAAAUAUUUAGAUUGAAACGACGACGAACACGACGAUCAUACCAAAAAUUUCAUCUAUUCCGGUACGUUUGAUCUUUAUUUUAAUUAGUUUAACAAUUAAUAGCCGUUUACGAUUAAUUUCGGAUAUCUAAAUCUUAUUAAUUUGAGUAAGGUUAGAAUAGUAUUCUUUUAUGUUUAUAUUAAUGCUCCGAUUAAUAAUUUUCGGAUAUUUGACAUUAUCAUCUUAAAUAUAUCAAUAUUAUAAUAAAUAUUUUCCUUUUCCGAUUUUUUUUUUUGGUAUAAUUCCUUUUCCGAUAAAUUAUGAAACAGAUCUGUUUACACAAAAAGUAAAAAAGAAAAAAAAAAAAAAAAAAAACCAUCAACCGUCUCCAUUCACACGUUUCUUCAUUAUGAUCACGAAUUCACGUUCAUGGAAGCUUCAUCAUACAUUAACACUUACAAGUUUCUUCGUCGAGUUUUUAUCCAAGGUUUCUUCGUCAACUCUGUAUCCAAGGUAAUAAAUAUUUGUUCUUUUCAUUGGUUAGAAUUAUAGGGUGCAGGAUAGUAUUGACGUCUUAAAGACAUAACAUGGGCAAGAUACUAUGAGAAGCUUGACUAUUCUGCUUCGACAGAUCAACAUGUGAAAUUCUAUCACUAAAUUAUUAGAUCUCUGUUAUUGCUAUGAAUAUAUGCUUUAUGUUAGGAUUUCAAGUUUUGCCUUCGUUUAGAAGAAUUAUAUUCACACGACGAAGAACACGAUGAAUUCAAUUAAAGCUUCCUAACUGGUACUUCGUUGUUCCUUUUUUUUUUUUUGGUUAAUUAUCAUGUUUAUUGUUUCUAAAAUUAUUUUUUCCUGGUUAAUUCCGAAAUUCAAUUUAAUUUUUCCAAAAUUAAUUAGAUUUCAUUAAGGGUAAUUAAGUAAUUACGUAAAAUCAAUGACUCAACAAGAGUCGAGAGUCCGACACGUCAGCAAAAACACUUCUCAAAUAUUAUUAUAUAUAGAUAGAUUUGGAUCCCUCAUGGUUGGAUAUGUAAUUUUUAAUAGAUAUUAAGGUUUUUUUGACUUUUGCUACAUAUUUUGAUUUAAAAGAAAUUGUUAAAUAAAAUAAAAAAAGGAGAGUGGCAUUCUAGCCUAAAUUUUCUGAGAAAAUGGCUUUCUAGCCAUUGUUUCAAAUUUUGGUUCGGUUUUGGUUUAGAUACGAUUCGGUUAUUUCAGUCCGGUUCAAAUCCGUAAGUGUUGUGGAUAAUGUUAAAGAGAGUUUUUGGCACUAUACACGUGUCGUAAAACGGUGGCUUAUAGGCUUCCACGUGUCAGUAGCGCACCAUCUUCCUUUCUAUAUAGCCAAUGCUACAAAAUUCUCUGUUAACUUCACACUACUAGUAUGGAGAAUCAUGGAGGAAGAAGAGACAUAGCCAUAACCGAUGGAGAAAGGAGGACUGGUUCUUCGGUUGUGGCUGCAACCGUAGCAGCUGUAGCAGUGGUCGGGCCGCUUUUUGGUCUGAUGAGUUUCAGCUUUGUGGCGACGGUGACUCUGUUUCUGAUCGCUUCUCCAUUGCUGCUGACAUUUGCUCCAGUUUUUAUGGUGAUGGUAGCGGUUCUUGUGGCGGCUAUGGUUGGUGUUGGGGUAGCUGCAGCCAUGUGGAUGAUGGGAAUAGCUGCUUUGGUAUGUUGUGGCCGAGAGAUUGGUAUUGAAACCGGAGUGGCUGGGAGGAUGGUUGAGUCGGUUGUGAGAGAAUUAGGUUAUGGUCGGAGUCGUUACUUACGAAACAAAUCAGAGUAUGGCUAUUCUUCUUCUUCUCGGGCUUACUAGUUCAAACUUGGAAAAAUUCAUGGGAAUUUCAAGGAGAUGGUGAAUAAAGAAAACACAGAGAUAUGGUUAUGAUAAGAAAACAAAAAUUUAAGCAGAAGUUUUUCGAGAGAUAAACCUGUAAUGUCUAUCCAAAGAAAUCUACUUAUGCUAUAUCAAUUUUUUUGUCGUGUGUUUUUUUUCCUAAGUCAAGACAAAUAAAUAGCAAACAGAUGAAAAAAAUAAAAUAAAGAUUGUAAGUUUCUUUUUGGUCAAAAAGAUUGUUAAGUUUAAUUGAUAUAAUAAUUUUAAAAGGUAGAAUUAAUCACAACUUUUGG